GCCCCGCGCCCGUCCCCCGGGCUUCCUGGGCUCCAUCGGCGCUGCGUGGUCCUGCGCUCUGAGCUCCUUGCGGUUGGCGGCUUAGGCAGCGCGCUCCUGGCUGACUUUGUUCCGGAAGCACGUUUUGUAUACAUGAGCACAGCUUUGGCUUGAUUGCAUGGAUGGUCACCAGGCAGAGGGAGACUCCUUUGUCCAGAGAAGGGUCACCGCUGCUAUUUGCGGAAGAACAUGGAGGUGUUGAACAUAAAGAGCUAAGAGUUAGACUGGCCUCGAACUCUGCGCCCGCACUCUGAGUAUCUCAGCCAAGUGGAGCCUCACCUGGGCCUCAUCUUCAGCUUAGGCCUGCGCUUCCACGGUUUCCCUUACGGGUGUCUCACGCAGGGCCCCUCCGUCCUUCCUGUGGGGAGGCAGGGAAGGCAGGCCUGAGCCAGCGUUCCUGUGGACUUCCUCCUCCAGGCCUCUCCUCCUGCUUUUUCAGGAACACCAAACAGUUUACUGUUCUCAGUAUUUUUUAAUAAACUUCCAAA
ensembl:lncRNA